rnacentral:rRNA from 1 species
GACGAACGCUGGCGGCGUGCUUAACACAUGCAAGUCGAACGGAAAGGCCCUGCUUUUGUGGGGUGCUCGAGUGGCGAACGGGUGAGUAACACGUGAGUAACCUGCCCUUGACUUUGGGAUAACUUCAGGAAACUGGGGCUAAUACCGGAUAGGAGCUCCUGCUGCAUGGUGGGGGUUGGAAAGUUUCGGCGGUUGGGGAUGGACUCGCGGCUUAUCAGCUUGUUGGUGGGGUAGUGGCUUACCAGGGCUUUGACGGGUAGCCGGCCUGAGAGGGUGACCGGCCACAUUGGGACUGAGAUACGGCCCAGACUCCUACGGGAGGCAGCAGUGGGGAAUAUUGCACAAUGGGCGGAAGCCUGAUGCAGCAACGCCGCGUGCGGGAUGACGGCCUUCGGGUUGUAAACCGCUUUCGCCUGUGACGAAGCGUGAGUGACGGUAAUGGGUAAAGAAGCACCGGCUAACUACGUGCCAGCAGCCGCGGUGAUACGUANGGUGCGAGCGUUGUCCGGAUUUAUUGGGCGUAAAGGGCUCGUAAGUGGGUGAUCGCGUCGGAAGUGUAAUCUUGGGGCUUAACCCUGAGCGUGCUUUCGAUACGGGUUGACUUGAGGAAGGUAGGGGAGAAUGGAAUUCCUGGUGGAGCGGUGGAAUGCGCAGAUAUCAGGAGGAACACCAGUGGCGAAGGCGGUUCUCUGGGCCUUUCCUGACGCUGAGGAGCGAGAGCGUGGGGAGCGAACAGGCUUAGAUACCCUGGUAGUCCACGCUGUAAACGGUGGGUACUAGGUGUGGGGUCCAUUCCACGGGUUCCGUGCCGUAGCUAACGCUUUAAGUACCCCGCCUGGGGAGUACGGCCGCAAGGCUAAAACUCAAAGGAAUUGACGGGGCCCCGCACAAGCGGCGGAGCAUGCGGAUUAAUUCGAUGCAACGCGUAGAACCUUACCUGGGUUUGACAUGGAUCGGGAGUGCUCAGAGAUGGGUGUGCCUCUUUUGGGGUCGGUUCACAGGUGGUGCAUGGCUGUCGUCAGCUCGUGUCGUGAGAUGUUGGGUUAAGUCCCGCAACGAGCGCAACCCUUGUUCACUGUUGCCAGCACGUUAUGGUGGGGACUCAGUGGAGACCGCCGGGGUCAACUCGGAGGAAGGUGGGGAUGACGUCAAGUCAUCAUGCCCCUUAUGUCCAGGGCUUCACGCAUGCUACAAUGGCUGGUACAGAGAGUGGCGAGCCUGUGAGGGUGAGCGAAUCUCGGAAAGCCGGUCUCAGUUCGGAUUGGGGUCUGCAACUCGACCUCAUGAAGUCGGAGUCGCUAGUAAUCGCAGAUCAGCAACGCUGCGGUGAAUACGUUCCCGGG